rnacentral:rRNA from 1 species
ACUCCUACGGGAGGCAGCAGUGGGGAAUAUUGCACAAUGGGGGAAACCCUGAUGCAGCCAUGCCGCGUGUGUGAAGAAGGCCUUCGGGUUGUAAAGCACUUUCAGUAGGGAGGAAGGUAGUGUAGUUAACACCUGCAUUAUUUGACGUUACCUACAGAAGAAGCACCGGCUAACUCCGUGCCAGCAGCCGCGGUAAUACGGAGGGUGCGAGCGUUAAUCGGAAUUACUGGGCGUAAAAGCGCAUGCAGGCGGCCUGUUAAGUCAGAUGUGAAAGCCCGGGGCUUAACCUCGGAAUUGCAUUUGAAACUGGCAGGCUAGAGUCUUGUAGAGGGGGGUAGAAUUUCAGGUGUAGCGGUGAAAUGCGUAGAGAUCUGAAGGAAUACCAGUGGCGAAGGCGGCCCCCUGGACAAAGACUGACGCUCAGAUGCGAAAAGCGUGGGGAGCAAACAGGAUUAGAUACCCUGGUAGCACAGAG